AGGACCUUGGGGACAUCUUGAGGUCCAUGGGGACAUUUUGAGGUCCAUGGGGACACCCUGAUGACCUUGGGGACAUCCUGAUGACCACGGGGACAUCUUGAGGACCACAGGGGACAUCUUGAGGUCCAUGGGGACACCCUGAUGACCUUGGGGACAUCUUGAGGACCACGGGGAUGUCCUGGAGAUGAUGAGAACCCCUUGAAGACCACAGAGACGUCCUGAUGACCACGGGGACAUCUUGAGGUCCAUGGGGACAUCUUGAGGUCCAUGGGGACACCCUGAUGACCUUGGGGACGUCCUGAUGACCUUGGGGCCAUCCUGAUGACCAUGGGGACAUCUUGAGGACCACGGGGACAUCUUGAGGUCCAUGGGGACACCCUGAUGACCUUGGGGACAUCUUGAGGUCCAUGGGGAACGUCCUGAUGACCAUGGGGACAUCUUGAGGACCACAGGGACAUCUUGAAGUCCAUGGGGACAUUUUGAGGUCCAUGGGGACAUUUUGAGGUCCAUGGGGACACCCUGAUGAUCUUGGGGACGUCCUGGAGAUGAUGAGAACCCCUUGAAGACCACAGAGACGUUCUGAUGACCAUGGGGACAUCUUGAGGACCACAGGGGACAUCUUGAGGUCCAUGGGGACAUUUUGAGGUCCAUGGGGACACCCUGAUGACCUUGGGGACAUCCUGAUGACCACGGGGACAUCUUGAGG